AAAAUUGAAGAUUUAUGGAGAAAAUUUGAGGAAAAGAAAACAACAUUUCCAAGUACACAUACCGAUGCAUUAGAAACAUUGAAGUAUGAAAACAAGGUGUACCCAAUGAAGAGUGUUAACCGAGGAAAAUUUAUUCUCAUAUCAAACGUUCAAGUGAAACCACUAUGCACAAAAACCCAAAACGAGGAAAAGAAGGCACAAAGAUAUGCAGAUUAUCUUCGGAAUUCAGACUUUGAUCUGGUCAAUGUAUUUCAACUUUUUAAAUUCAUGGGAUAUGAUACAACAGACGGUAAACACUUUGGGAAAACAGAAGAGGAAAUCAAGGAGAUAUUGAAACAAAAAUUAAAUGAUAUAGACAAGG